rnacentral:lncRNA from 1 species
GAUUACAGGUGUGAGCCACCGAGCCUGGCCUUGAAGACAUUUUAAACAGCACUUAAAUAUUAACACAUGUAUUCCCGACACAGUACAAAACCCAAUUGUGAAUUGAGAUAUGACCAAGCUGGUGCAACUAUGCCAUGAUGGCUGCCUUAGUCAAAGACAAUUGUUAAGAUGCUUCCUGGCCGGGCACGGUGGCUCACACCUGUAAUCCCAGCACUUUGGGAGGCCAAGGGGGGCGGAUCACCUGAGGUCGGGAGUUCGAGACCAGCCUGGCCAACAUGGAGAAACCCCCACCCUACUGAAAAUACAAAAUCAGCCGGGCGUGGUGACGCAUUCCUGUAAUCCCAGCUACUUGGGACGCUGAGGCAGGAGAAUCACUUGAACCCGGGAGGCGGAAGUUGCAGUGAGCCAAGAUCGCGCCAUUGCACUGCAGCCUGGGCGACAAGAGUGAAACUCCGUCUCAAAAAAAAAAAAAAUAAAAAUAAAGAUGCUUCCCAAUUUCAAAGAAAUUAAAAUAUGAAGUGUUUUGGAAUUAAUUUUGGAGACAAAUUUACAUACAAGACAUCCCCUUAUAACUUGCUUUCUCUCAGCAUCAUGUUUUCAAAGUAUUAAGAGACAGCUCACUGCGUAAGGAAGCCAACAGCACCUGGCUGCUGCUGGAGCUCGGGACUCUCUUAGCUUAGCGCUCCCUCCAUUUUACUGAGCCACCCCAGAAAACGCUGUUUCAUGCUAAUGGGUACUAGUAGGCUAAGGAGUUAUUCCUUCUUGGGAACAUCUGCCUUAAAUCAGGAAAAUUGUCUUUUCAAAGGCCCAGGAAUUCACAUAUCAUCUGGGACCAGGGUGAAGCACUUGCUUUGGGGACAAAAUUUAAGGAAUGGCAAGUAAUCAAGAUAAAUUUUUUUUUAAAUUUUAGAUAUUUUAAUGCAACAUUAAAAAAGUCAAAACUAAUGCAAAAUGACGAACAUAAUAUAAACAUUUUAAAUAAGACAGAAUCUACUCUCUGCUGAAAAAAAGAAAAAGGGAAAAAAAUAAUCAUUACAGAGUUUUCCAUUUGCCUUAGGCUCCCACAUGACUUGGCAUGGUAUAGUUACUAAUCCUGUUUUACAGGGGGAGGAAAGGGAGUGAUAGGUUAAAAUGAGUGAGCAACAUGGUCCCAGAGUACAAUUAAAAAUGUAAAUGUACAACAGAAACACACAAAAUAAUUAUAGGAAGGGCGAACAAUUUUCAAUAUUAUAUCCCCAAAUGGAUGCAAGCUCUUUAUAUUAGAAUGUGGAUUAUUAGUUGCAUUUUAUUAGAAGGAACUAGAUUUAGGCCAUGUGCGGUGGCUCAUGUCUGUACUCCCAGUACUUUGGGAGGCCGAGGCAGGAGGAUUGCUUGAGGACAGGAGUUCGAUGCUGCAGUGCGCUAUGGUGCCACUACACUCCAGCCUGGGCAACAGAGUGAGACCUUGUCUUGAAAAUGAAAAAUAAAAGGAACUAAAUUUAAAUAUGGUGAAGACAAUGUAUACCUGCUAGAUGUCAGCACUUAAGAGGCUAUAGUAAUCUAAAUGAUGUGAUAUUUCCACAGGGUUAGACAAAAAAAAAAAACAAAAACAAAAACAAAAAAACAAUAGAGCAGAAGAAACUAGAAAUGGACCACACAUAUUUGGGGAAUGGGAAUCUGACAGGGGUGGCAUGGUGUUGGCACAAUUAGCUAGCUGGAUGGAAAAUAAAGAUUCCUUAGUUCACAUACUAUGUAACAAGAAAUUCAAGAAUGAUUAAAAACCUAAAUAUAUGUGCUUGGGAGGUAGACUUCUAAAAUGGCUGGAAGGUAACAUUAGAGAUCCUUCUGUAGUUCACAAGCAUGAUGAUUGGGUUUUCACACUUACAUGAGAUGUGCCUCCCCUCAGCCUUGUUACUACAUUAUCCACCUGAUAUGAAAAUGAAAAUAUAUAAAUUAAAAAAAUUAGAGACUAUAUGAACUUGGGAUGAGGAUGAUUUCCUAAACAAGAAAAACAUACAGCAAAAAAAUGACAAAUAGCAAGACUGCAUAAACAAAGAAAAAAAGAAAAACAGUCUGAGAGGUUUUGCAGCUCGCAUAACAAAGGAUUGGUAUCUAGACUAUAUAGAAAAAGACAAAUCAAUUAGAAAAAGACAAACCCAAUGGAAAAAUGGACAAGUGGUGUGAGCAUUCAAUUCAGAAAAGAGGAAACUCAAAUGGCCAAUAUAUAUAGGAAAGAUGUUUUUCUCACAUGUAAUCAGAAAUGCAAAUUAUAUACUAUUUCAUGCUUAUCCAACCGGAUUUUUUUUUUUUUUUUUUUUUUUGUAUUAGAGACAGGGUCUCAUUCUGUUACCCAGGCUGGCAUGCAGUGAUCCAUUUGUAGCUCACUGCAGACUUGAACUCCUGGGCUUAAGGGAUCCUCCUGCUUCAGCCUCCAAGUAGCUAGGACUACAGGUACACGCCACCACGUCCAGCCAAUUUUCUGUUUUGUUUGUUUUCCUCCUCUCUCUCUCCCUCUCCCUCCUCUCCCCUCCUUUUUUCAGUUAGGAUUUUUAGUGAAAUAAUUUCAGUUUACAUUAAGGCUUUUGAUUGUACAUGUAAAAUAUAUUAUUACAACCAUUUAAAAUACAUUUUAAAGUUAUUGGAUUUAAUUAACUCUUGGAGUAUAGGAUCUUUAGGAGCCUACAGAACUUUCAUGAAGACUUCGCAUUUUAAAAUUAGUUACAGUCCGAAGUAAACUAGACUUAAGAAUGUUUAUGUAGCUCAAGCUCCCCCUAAAAUGUUUUUUUUUUUCCUUUUUUUGAGACAGAUUCUCGCUCUGUCGCCCAGGCUGGAGUGCAGUGGCACGAUUUUGGCUCACUGCAACCUCCGCCUCCCAGGUUCAAGAGAUUUUCCUGUCUCAGCCUCCUGAGUAGCUAGGCCUAUAGGCACCCGCCACCAGGCUCAGCUAAUUUUUCUAUUUUUAGUAGAGACGGGGUUUCACCAGGUUGGCCAGGCCGGUCUCUAACUCCUGACCUCAGGUGAUCCACCCACCUCGGCCUCCCAAACUGCUGGGAUUACAGGCGUGAGGCACUGUGCCCAGCAGAACCCAGUAACUUUCAAGAGUAUACUUCAGUAGAACCAAAGUGCUAUACCAAUUAUAAGCAGUCUUAAUUACAAUUUUAAUAGCAAAUAUUAAAUAUUUAAAAUAAGCUUUAUACUAUAUAAUUAUUAUUCAUAGGCAAAAUCUCAUGAAAAUAAACCCCAUGGUACUCUAUAUCAUGUCACUGUGGAAUUAAUUGUUAAGAUAAAUUGCAUUUCAGGCUGGGUGCGGUGGGUCACGCCUGGAAUCCCAGCACUUCAGGAGGCCAAGGCGGGCGGAUCACCCAAGGUCAGGAGUUCAAGACUAGCCUGGCCAACAUGGUGAAACUCCAUCUCUACUAAAAAUACAAAAAAAUUAGCUGGGCAUGGUGGUGGACACCUGUAAUCCCAGCUACUCAUGAGGCUGAGGCAGAAGAAUCGCUUGAACCCGGGAGGUGGAGGUUGCAGUGAGCCGAGAUCGUGCCAUUGCACUCCAGCCUGGGCAACAAACAUGAAACUCCAUCUCAAAUAAUAAUAAAUAAUAAAUUGCAUUUCAUAACUUCAAGACUUAGGAAUGAAGCAAAACCACCUCUUCAUAAUCAGUGCCCAAAAAAGUAAGUGUAAACGACUCAGGAGAGGGAAAGAAGGUAUCAGACCCACCAUUAGGGUAACUCCUGGGUGGUACUGGUCCUCUUCAUCUUAAAUGCAUUAUAGGUGAAUGUUAUAUGGAAAGAAUACAUUUGUUGCACAGAUUUAAUCAUUAAAAAAAAUCACUGUUGCCAAUAUUAUAGACUAGGUCUACUAGUUAAAAGAAGUAAAGCCCAGUCUUUCAUUCUACCUUUCCAUAAAAGGUAUGGCUCUUUUGUGUCCCACUGGAGUUGUGGAUACUUACAAGAUAGCAGAAAUACUGACUUCCUAAGUGCCCCUCACCUCUGAAUUAGAAGAGCAUAUCUGCCAGUUACAUCUGAGCACAAAACAGUGUACUAGUAAGUGGUGUUUGCAGGUAAAAUAAAACUGAAACAGGAAAUAAGGGGGAGAAAAUACCACAGCCAGAAAAGCCAGCAGGAAGUGAGAAAUGGCGGUGAUGCUGCCUGAAAAGCAAUGUAUUCUCUAUUAGUAGCUACACCUAUUUACUUCUAGACCAUAAUGUAACAUACACGAAUCAUCAAAACAACAGGCAAAAACAAACACUUGUUUAGCAUUUUCUUUAGGGUUUACAAAAUAACUCCCAAAGUUGAACAGAAAAAAACUUAAAAGCAAUUUAGCAUAAAAACGACAGUGCAAAUUGUUAUAAUGCCCAUUAUGAACUAAAAGCAAGUAACUUCAUUUCAGUGCAUUUUCUAGUACAGAAUUUAAAAAGUAACUUCAGAAUUGCUUUGAAAUUAAAUCAUUGCUUGAAUUCAUCUUAACAAUUAUGUUAACAUUUGACUAUUUUACAUAUAUAAUGGAUUUUUUGCACAACUAGGAAUUGUCUAAUAUGUGAAAAACAUCACACUUUGCUAUUUUUCACUAAAUACUAUUUAGCUUCUCAAAACAAAAUGUGUUCCACAAGAAAUCUUAUCACGUUUUCCCUUAAUACUUAAACCAGAUGAACUUCAAAACACAAAUGAAGGCAAUUUGGAAGAGGAAAUGUCAGUGUGAGAUGUCAUUUAAAAAAUAUAACCUUAAAUUCAAGACAAGGAAGAAUAAUAUUUGGUCAGCAAAAGAUAUUUGAUGGACAUGUUCCAGUUAAUUUCAAGUAUUGAAGCUGGAUAAAGACUUGGGCACCAUAUAUUCCUCUGGUUUGCGUAUUUUCCAAGGUUUCAGAAAAUAUAUCAGGCAGUUUGAAAAGUAAACUAAUGAGGCUGUCAAUUCCUGGCUCAAAUAUACGGCUAAUAUGAUUAUAGAAACAUUUUUCCCCGACUAAUAUUAUUUCUCCUGUUAUUAAAAACCAUUUUAAAGCCUGGGUAGAAAGAAGAAUCACAACUAGCAAGACAGCGCCAUUAUUUUCAUAUAGGAAGACCAGUUCAUUACAACUUUUUUUUUUUUUUUUUUUUUUUUUGAGACGGAGUCUCCCUCUGUCGCCCAGGCUGUAGUGCAGUGGCGCGAUCUCGGCUCACUGCAAUCUCCACCUCCCAGGUUCAAGCGAUUCUCCUGCCUCAAACUCCCGAGUAGCUAGGACUACAGGCACGCAGCACCACACCAAGUUAAUUUUUUUAUUUUUAUUUUUUAAGUAGAGACAGGUUUCACCAUUUUAGCCAGGCUGGUCUCAAACUGUUGACCUCAAGUGAUCUGCCCGCCUUGGCCUGCCAAAGUGCUGGGAUUACAGGCGUGAGCCACUGCGCCUGGCCUUCAUUAUAAUUUUUUUUCAAUGACAAUGCAACUCCCAGUGGAUUUCUACUUUUAGCAUUAAGAAAUUAUGACUCUUGGUGGUAAAUUCUACUCAGGUUAAUAAACUAACGGUGAAGCAGCUUGGAAGCAUUUGUUGCUUAGAUUGUUUAUUCCUUCACAAUGUUAUUUUAAAAUUUGAGUUUUUUUUAAUAUAAAAGAGACAUAUAUUUAAAAUUUGAGAUGGAGUCUCGCUGUUGCCCAGGCUGCUGUGCAGUGGCUGGAUCAUAGCUCACUGCAGCCUUGAACUCCUGAACUCAAGCAAUCCUCCUGCCUCAGUUUCCCAACUAGCUGGGACUAUAGGCAUGUGACACCAUGCUAGAGUACUUAGAAUUUUUUUGUGUGUAGAAACCAGGUCUUGCUAUGUUGUCCAGGCGGGUCUUGAACUCCUGGCCUCAAGCAAUCCUCCUGCUUUAUUACAGGCAUAAGCUACCACAUUCAGCUAAGCAGUCUUUUUUUUUUUUUUUUUUUUUGAGAUGGAAUUUUGCUUUUGUUGCCCAGGCUGGAGUGCAAUGGCACGAUCUC